rnacentral:rRNA from 1 species
UACGUAGGGUGCGAGCGUUGUCCGGAAUUAUUGGGCGUAAAGGGCUCGUAGGCGGUUUGUCGCGUCGGGAGUGAAAUCCACUGGCUUAACUGGUGGCUUGCUUUCGAUACGGGCAGACUGGAGGUAUGCAGGGGAGAACGGAAUUCCUGGUGUAGCGGUGAAAUGCGCAGAUAUCUGGAGGAACACCGGUGGCGAAGGCGGCAUCCUGGACCAAUAUUGACGCUGAGGAGCGAAAGCCAGGGGAGCAAACGGG